rnacentral:rRNA from 1 species
UACGUAGGGCGCGAGCGUUGUCCGGAAUUAUUGGGCGUAAAGAGCUCGUAGGCGGCCUGUUGCGUCCGCUGUGAAAUCCCGGGGCUUAACCCCGGGCGUGCAGUGGAUACGGGCUGGCUGGAGGCAGGCAGGGGAGAACGGAAUUCCCGGUGUAGCGGUGAAAUGCGCAGAUAUCGGGAGGAACACCAAUUGCGAAGGCAGCUCGCUGGGACGUUACUGACGCUGAGACGCGAAAGCGUGGGGAGCGAACAGG